rnacentral:lncRNA from 1 species
UUUACUUCAGUGGUGCCGUUUUUUUUUUUUUUUUUUUUUUUUGUUUUUUUUUGUUAUCGGGUAUUAAUUUGUUCAUAUAUAAGGCCGUUAUUAGAUUCUUAUUUAACUUGUUUAACAUUUGUCUUUCAGUGGGCGAGGUGGAUUUAGCAGGUUGCUUAGACCUACAUGUAAAAUUGAUUACCUCGACUUCAUUUGGUCUGUACUGUAGUAAAGAAUGAAUAGUGGUCUCAUUGGUAACCAUACACAAUUUUCAUACUUGUAUGUGCAGUUUUUAUAAUCAUUUGUUUCUCAUUUUGUUAUCUUAAUGCCUUUUACCACAAGAUAAGGUUUUU